ACCAUCUACCUGUGCUGUCCAGUUGAAACGUUGCUUGGCACCACCACAUGCCCCCGUCUGCUGACGGGCACACGGACCGGUCGAGAUGGUCUGUGGGCACGGGACAACACUGAGUGGACGGCUACCCUGCGAGCACUCUGUGCUUUGGGGUGUUCUCCGACGAUGGUGCUUGGUAUAUACUGACUCGUUGCUGAGCAAAGUGAAAAGCCUGAGGUUUGGCUGCGAAGCAAUCGAGUUGGUGGCGGACCGCCUUGCUGGUUGGUUUGCUGUACCGUCGUUGGACGAGCACGCUCGUUGGGUAACCCAACGGCUGUGCUGGUGUCUGUGCGUCGUUGAGCGGUUGUUGUGCCUGGCACAUGUGACACACUGGCCUGGGAAAGUGGUUCUUUCCUGGCCUUACGAACCGUAACUAGCGGUGUGUCUGUGCCUGUGUGCUACGUCCGUGGCCGUGAUGAGACGACGUGGUAGGGCCCGUGCUAUGCUUCUGCACGUGGCUUAAGACUCAAUGAGUGUCAGCUAGGCACCGCCAGUGUUUUUUUUCAUUUAUUUUUUUGACCACUUCUUUGUUGAAGAAAGAAAUUCUAGUCUUAUCGGUGGAUCACUCGGCUCGUGGAUCGAUGAAGAACGCAGCCAACUGCGAUAAUUAGUGCGAACUGCAGAAACCUUGAACACAAAACUUUCGAAUGCACAUUGCGCCAUUGGAGUUACAUCCAUUGGCACGCCUGGUUCAGGGUCGUUAUCAUAAAAGGCACUGCUGUGCCUGUUAUGUUGGUGAGAUCAUGUCGGCAUGACGUGUUCUUGCGCUAUUCUUGAAAAUGCUCGGCCGUGGAGUGUGGUUGUGUUGGCGCGAAACUGUCAGGUUCUUUCGCGUUUUACGGUCCGUAACUAGGACGCAACUGCUCGCCAUGUGUGCUGGGUGGAAUGCUUCGCUGGUAGGCAUUCCGUGUUUGAAUUUUCGACCUGAACUCAGACGUGAGUACCCGCUGAACUUAAGCAU
rnacentral:rRNA from 1 species